rnacentral:rRNA from 1 species
AUGGUGAAUUCUUUUUGUUGCCGUGGUGUCAUUCAGUCUAUCUUAACCACAUUUGAAGCUACCAGUGAGUUGCUUUUCGCAAUGAACAGGACACCCUCUUCACCUAUGGAGACUGAUAGUAAAACUGGGAAGGAAGAGAAGGAUACCAAUUGUUCAUGGAUUUAUGGCCCCCUUUCCAGCUAUGGUGCAGCCAUGGACCAUCUUGGAACGUCAUCAUUCAUUCUCUCUUCAUCGACAAGACAACUACUUGAGCAGCCUAUUUUUAGUGGAACUGUCAGGUUUCCACAAGACACAGAGAGAUUCAUGAAGUUGCUUCGGUAUAAAGUCUUGAAGGUUCUUCCCAUCUGGCCCCAUCCACAGUUUCCAGAAUGCAAUCUUGAGUUAAUCAGUUCAGUCACAUCCAUCAUGAGGCAUGUUUACUCUGGGAUAGAAGUGGAAAACACUGUUAGCAACAUUGCUGCUCAUUUGGCUGGUCCACCCCCUGACGAGAAUGCAAUUUCCCUGAUUAUAGAGAUGGCUUUUCUCGUGCUAGAGCUGAAGAAGCAUUAA